CGGCGGUGGCGGAGUCGACGGGGGAGCAGCGGACGUCGAUCCCGCGCCGUGAGGACGGAGCUCUCCUAGGAUUUCAGCCUAUUGCCACGGGAAUUAUUCACGAUUAGAACUCAGCAGAAAGCUGUACGUUUACCACUGUAACGUCGGUGCAGGAUCCAACAGGCUGGGAGGCAGCCAGGCCCUGCCAUGGGAACACAAAGGGUCUUGGGUCACCAAGCAAGUGUAACAACGCAAGUGUCUGAUUGACUUUGGAGGGAACUGCGAGCGCCCACUCCUUCUCAAGAUCAAACCCCUGAGCUGUGGCACAGAAGUGCAAUGAAAACAGAUCGUGUGCAGGUGGCAGCACCGUGGGCUUCCCGCCCCCAGCACCCAGCUAAGCUGUCUCUGCCUGGCGCUGGAGGGGCCCCCGUCUAGGGAAGCAAGACAAGCUCUUUCACCAUCACUCAGCGCAGGCCCAGCGAGGACAGGGCAGAGAAAGAAAACGGCUGCUGAUUCUUCGCGGGGAGGAGGGGGGAAUAUUUUGCAAUACAACCCUGGCACUAACCAGAUUCUAAAUACAUUGCACCGCCGCCUUCCAUCCCUGCCUGUAUCCACCAGCGAUGCUGCACCCAUGUAGCUAGAUGGGGGCAGGCUACGACGCAGAACAAAACAGGCUGGAUUUCCACCCCAGGGCGCCGAGGCUCAGGGGAAAGGGAACGGUCAACAGUCAGCAAUGCAGCCCAGGCCGCAGCGAUGCUCUCGGCUACCAGCAUCCAGUCAGGAUCCACAGCACAGCACUGCGGGCAGGAGAGAGAGCCCCAGUGGCCAGCCGGAGUCAAACGGUCGGAUUUACGGCUCUUCGGGAUUGAAUCGGCUAACUGAUUCUCAAUGCAAAAGAGAAAAGCCGCCUGCAAAGCAAACACCGCCACCACCACCCCCUCCUCCCAGCCAGCCACUGCUCUGCAAAGCCUGUAUUUAUGGGGCUGCCAGGCCAGAGAAAGUGGUUUUUCCAAUAUUUAAUUUAUCAAAUGGCUCGUCUCCUCGUGCAUCGUGGCCGGUUUUAUGGGUCCAUAAACAGGCGCUUAGCGCUCUGCCUGGGCCCAGUGGGGGAGGGACCCGCCUGGCUCCAGCCACCCUCAUCAAACCAGUGGGAGAUUGAAUGGCCAGACCUGCAGCCCCCUUCUCUUUCAACGGCUCCCAAAGCCAUCAGCAGCACUGGCGUCCAUCCCCGAGCCCUGGUGAAUGACUGGGAGGGUUCCCCGGUGGGCUGGAGACCCCCAGAGGACAGCACGCUGGUCCGAGGCACAUUAGGGCUGAGAGCGGGGCGGGGGGAUGGCCUCCCUCUCCCAGCAGGAGUGGAGGAGACAGUGACGUAGCCUCAGGGUUUAGGAGCAGGCCAGGGGCUCCCCAAGAGCGGCAGCUCGGCACACGUGCUUGAUCCAGGAUGCCACUGAGCUCGGCUGUCUUCACCCCGGGGAAAGGAGCAGCGACUAACCCCCAGGGUUCAGCCUGGCCUCCGAGGAUUUCCAGGGGAAGGAGCAAAUAGUGGUGAUGGGCCCUUAUGCUGCACCUCACAUCCUGAGCGGCCCCCUUGGAGAGAGAUUGGGGAAACCGAGGCACAGAGGUUGAGGGAGUCGCCCAAGGCCGUAGGGGCUAGAUCAGAACUCCCAGGUCUGGGCUAAGUGAAGCAGAGCGAAGGCCAUGUCCCCUUUCCCCAGGCCUGGGCAGUCGCCGUGGGGUGGGGGCAGGGUAGAGCUAUUCCUUGCCACAGGAAGGGGGAAAGGUGGGAUCUGAUGUCACAGGUGCCAGGCCAGAUUCUGGGCUUCCCAUGAGAGCACGAGGUGGGGGGAAGAGGGGAGCUGAAUGCUGGCUUCACUCCCCGCUCCGACCACCAGAGCGUCGGUUGUGGAGCGUGGGGAAGGGAAGUCAACACAAGAGGAAGAAAGGGGGAAAAUGUCCCCCGAUGCCAUCUGUCCCAGAGUGGGGCACUGCAGCUCUGAUUAGCACCUGGCUAACAGAGCAAUAGGAGGAAUCAGACAGACUCAUAAGCCCGCCCAGGACCUGCCCCAAGGGUAUUUAAUUAGCAGUCACAUGCAGCCCAUGGAUUGGGUUGCAUACAGCACCGAGCACACUGU